GACAGGACCCUUGCCAGUUUACUUCUGCAGACAUGGGCAGUGAUGUGUGGUGGCAUCCAGUGGCAGGGACAGAGUUUUCAGGUACUGAUGCUACACUCUUGGAUCCUGGUGGCAGAGAAUGUGGCAGGUGCUGACACAUUCUUCUCUGGGUUACAGCUGCUUUUGGUAUUGGUUCUCUUGUCUGGCAUAUGGAUGUAGCUGUCAUUUCUGUUCUGCAGGGCAGUCUGGAUCCUGGGGACCUCCUCCGUUAACUGGACGAUUCUGUAUGCCCUACCCUGGAGACGCCCCGCCCCCAUGGACUAUUAGGCAUGUCCACCUCCUGAACCUUAGUGGCCCUGAGGCCACCCGGAACCCCUCCACCUGCAACACUUGGUAAGAUAAUCUGAGCACUAGGAGUUGACUUGUAAAACACACUCACCUUAUUUUUGUUGCUGUUAGGUCUUGGGCCAAGGUGCAGAGGAGGUACCACAGACCAUUGUGAUGCAAGGGGAACGUCUGCUGCCAUUACCACAUUCCUCAAGUUUCUCAGGAUCUCAUCUUUGUCAUUUCCCCCAUCAUGGGUGGGUACAGGCAUCUCUUGUGGAGAAGGAAUGGGGCCGUAUGCAGCAAAUCAGACAUAGCGCUUCAGCAGAAAUGCCCUGUACACAGUCCACGUGCUGGGAUCUGUGAGGCAUGAGGCACAACGUAAUGUGUGUCCAUCUAGUUGUGCCCCCAGCCAUCCGUAGUUGUUUGCUGAGUGAUGAAUACAUCUGAAUCAGGGCUUUUAGGAGUCUUCAUCGAGUUAUAAGGGAUGGUUCUUCAAGUUCUUCUUGGGGAUCACUGGAGGCAUGUGGGUCACCCUGUGCAUGUAAUUUGGGAUCUCACUGGGACAAAGAGUUUAAGUUGUCGGAAGUAUGAGGGGAGGGUUUUUUGUUUUGUUUUUGGUCUCCAGUCUACUCAAGUCAGAAUAAACCUCCAUCCAUUCUUGGGCUUUUUGCAGGUCCAGGAGCAGGUGUCACACCCAAGAGUGACAUCAACACUGGCUCUGCCAAAACUGCCGAGAAACACAAGGCUAUUAUGUAUUCAAGAGGGCCUGGUCCUUUCCCAGGAUCGCCUUGCAGGCUGUUCCCCAUGGACCACCCUUCACCACCAGUCAUGGGCUAUAGGCCACGUCCCCCUCCACCACCAGCUCCUCCACCUCCUCUAUUUGUUAAGAUGA
rnacentral:lncRNA from 1 species